rnacentral:rRNA from 1 species
UACGGAGGGUGCGAGCGUUGUCCGGAAUCACUGGGCGUAAAGGGCGCGUAGGCGGCAUGCCAAGCGUGUGGUGAAAGCCCGGGGCUCAACCCCGGGUCGGCCGUGCGGACUGGCGUGCUCGAGCACUGUAGGGCGGGUGGAAUUCCGGGUGUAGCGGUGGAAUGCGUAGAGAUCCGGAAGAACACCGGUGGCGAAGGCGGCCCGCUGGGCAGGAAGACACCGCAAGGUGUCGGCUGACGCUGAGGCGCGACAGCGUGGGGGAGCAAACAGGAUUACGAA